rnacentral:rRNA from 1 species
GGACGUUACUCGCAGAAUAAGCGCCGGCUAACUCUGUGCCAGCAGCCGCGGUAAUACAGAGGGUGCAAGCGUUAAUCGGAUUUACUGGGCGUAAAGCGCGCGUAGGCGGCUAAUUAAGUCAAAUGUGAAAUCCCCGAGCUUAACUUGGGAAUUGCAUUCGAUACUGGUUAGCUAGAGUGUGGGAGAGGAUGGUAGAAUUCCAGGUGUAGCGGUGAAAUGCGUAGAGAUCUGGAGGAAUACCGAUGGCGAAGGCAGCCAUCUGGCCUAACACUGACGCUGAGGUGCGAAAGCAUGGGGAGCAAACAGGAUUAGAUACCCUGGUAGUCCAUGCCGUAAACGAUGUCUACUAGCCGUUGGGGCCUUUGAGGCUUUAGUGGCGCAGCUAACGCGAUAAGUAGACCGCCUGGGGAGUACGGUCGCAAGACUAAAACUCAAAUGAAUUGACGGGGGCCCGCACAAGCGGUGGAGCAUGUGGUUUAAUUCGAUGCAACGCGAAGAACCUUACCUGGCCUUGACAUAGUAAGAACUUUCCAGAGAUGGAUUGGUGCCUUCGGGAACUUACAUACAGGUGCUGCAUGGCUGUCGUCAGCUCGUGUCGUGAGAUGUUGGGGUAAGUUC